GGCCUUUUGAUAAUUAUUUAAGGUCUAACCUGCCCGCUGAGGAUUUGAAUGGCCGCGGUAUUUUGACCGUGCAAAGGUAGCAUAAUAAUUAGUUUCUUGAUUGGAAGCUGGAAUGAAUGGUUGAAUGAGGGAAUUACUGUCUCUUUUUAAAUUUUUAAAAUUUUAUUUUUAAGUUAAAAAGCUUAAAUACAUUUAAAAGACGAGAAGACCCUAUAGAGUUUUACAUUAGAUUAGGUUUUUAAUUUUUUAGGAUUUUUAAUUUUAAUUUUUUCUUGUGUUUGGUUGGGGCGAUUGAAAAAUUAAAUAAACUUUUUCACUAUUUUUUCACUUUAGGUGAGUUCUUGAUCCAUAUGAAUGAUUAUUAGAUUAAAUUACCUUAGGGAUAACAGCGUAAUCCUUUUUGAGAGUUCUAAUCGAUAAUAGGGUUUGCGACCUCGAUGUUGGAUUAAAAUUAAAUCUUGGUGCAGAAGCUAGGAGAUUGGGUCUGUUCGACCCUUAGAAUUUUACA
rnacentral:rRNA from 1 species